rnacentral:rRNA from 1 species
AGAGUUGUAUCCUGGCUCAGGAUGAACGCUGGCGGUAUGCUUUACACAUGCAAGUCGUACGAGAGUUUUUAACUCAAGUGGCGGACGGGUGAGUAACACGUAAGAAUUUGCCUUUAGGAGGGGGACAACAACUGGAAACGGUUGCUAAUACCCCAUAUGCUUUCGAGUGAAACGGUUUUUCCGCCUAAAGAGAAGCUUGCGGCUGAUUAGCUUGUUGGUAAGGUAAUGGCUUACCAAGGCGACGAUCAGUAUCUGGUUUGAGAGGACGAUCAGACACACUGGAACUGAGACACGGUCCAGACUCCUACGGGAGGCAGCAGUGGGGAAUUUUCCGCAAUGGGCGAAAGCCUGACGGAGCAAUACCGCGUGAGGGAUGAAUGCCUAUGGGUUGUAAACCUCUUUUUUCAGGGAGGAAAAAAAUGACGUUACCUGAAGAAUAAGCAUCGGCUAACUCCGUGCCAGCAGCCGCGGUAAGACGGAGGAUGCAAGUGUUAUCCGGAAUCACUGGGCGUAAAGCGUCUGUAGGUGGUUUGAUAAGUCAACUGUUAAAUCUUGAGGCUCAACCUCAAAACCGCAGUCGAAACUAUUAGACUAGAGUAUAGUAGGGGUAAAGGGAAUUUCCAGUGGAGCGGUGAAAUGCGUAGAGAUUGGAAAGAACACCGAUGGC